AUUGAACGCUGGCGGCAGGCUUAACACAUGCAAGUCGAGCGGGGUGAAGUGCUUCGGUACUGAUCCUAGCGGCGGACGGGUGAGUAAUGCUUAGGAAUCUGCCAUGUAGGGGGGGACAACAUUCCGAAAGGGAUGCUAAUACCGCAUACGUCCUACGGGAGAAAGCAGGGGAUCUUCGGAACUUGCGCUAAAUGAUGAGCCUAAGUCGGAUUAGCUAGUUGGUGGGGUAAAGGCCUACCAAGGCGACGAGCUGUAGCGGGUCUGAGAGGAUGGUCCGCCACACUGGGACUGAGACACGGCCCAGACUCCUACGGGAGGCAGCAGUGGGGAAUAUUGGACAAUGGGCGGAAGCCUGAUCCAGCCAUGCCGCGUGUGUGAAGAAGGCCUUUUGGUUGUAAAGCACUUUAAGCGAGGAGGAGGCUACCUGGAUUAAUACUCUGGGAUAGUGGACGUUACUCGCAGAAUAAGCACCGGCUAACUCUGUGCCAGCAGCCGCUGUAA
rnacentral:rRNA from 1 species